UAUCUCACAAGUGUCUGCCUUAUCAACUUUCGAUGGUAGUUUAUGUGCCUACCAUGGUUGUAACGGGUAACGGAGAAUAAGGGUUCGACUCCGGAGAGGGAGCCUGAGAAACGGCUACCACAUCCAAGGAAGGCAGCAGGCGCGCAAAUUACCCACUCUCGGCAUGAGGAGGUAGUGACGAAAAAUAACGAGACCGUUCUCUUUGAGGCCGGUUAUCGGAAUGGGUACAAUUUAAACCUGUUAACGAGGAUCUAUGAGAGGGCAAGUCUGGUGCCAGCAGCCGCGGUAAUUCCAGCUCUCAAAGUGUAUAUCGUCAUUGCUGCGGUUAAAAAGCUCGUAGUUGGAUCUGCGUCUUAGGACUUGGUCCAUCCGAUUGGAUGUGAACUAAGAACCUAGACUAAUAUUUAGCUAGUUUUACUGUAUGUUACCUUAAUUGGUUGCAUAUAGUGGCUGGCAUGUUUACCUUGAAAAAAUUAGAGUGCUUAACGCGGGCUUAUAAUGCUUGAAUACUCGUGCAUGGAAUAAUGAAAUAGGAUCUUGAUUGUUGUAUGCCUAUUUUGUUGGUCUAAAACAUAAAUACAAUUGAGAUAAUGGUUAAGAGGGACGGACGGGGGCAUUCGUAUCGCUGCGUGAGAGGUGAAAUUCUUGGACCGUAGCGAGACGCCCAACUGCGAAAGCAUUUGCCAAGAAUGUCUUCAUUAAUCAAGAACGAAAGUCAGAGGUUCGAAGGCGAUCAGAUACCGCCCUAGUUCUGACCGUAAACGAUACCAACUAGCGUUCCGUUGGCGGUAAAUACGCCUUGACGGGCAGCUUCCCGGAAACGAAAGUUUUUCGGUUCCGGGGGAAGUAUGGUUGCAAAGCUGAAACUUAAAGAAAUUGACGGAAGGGCACCACCAGGAGUGGAGCCUGCGGCUUAAUUUGACUCAACACGGGAAAACUCACCUGGCCCGGACACCGUGAGGAUUGACAGAUUGAAAGCUCUUUCAUGAUUCGGUGGUUGGUGGUGCAUGGCCGUUCUUAGUUGGUGGAGUGAUUUGUCUGGUUUAUUCCGAUAACGAGCGAGACUCUAGCCUACUAAAUAGUUUAUGCUGGAUAAAUGUAUUCGUACGCUAGUCCAGACAACUUCUUAGAGGGACAAGCGGUGUUUAGCCGCAUGAAGUUGAGCAAUAACAGGUCUGUGAUGCCCUUAGAUGUCCAGGGC
rnacentral:rRNA from 1 species